CAGCAAACGUGGAUGUGUGCAAUGCAGGUUUCAGAAUUCUAAGAAAAAUCAGCUUGUUUUAUGAGGAGGGAAAUGCAUUUGUUAGACCUCAAGGAUGCACACAGUGUGUUUGGUGGUAUAAUUGUUUUCUGACUGGAGAAUUGGCGCCACCUGAUGCUUAUCACAAUGGACCAGCUCUUUAUAAUCUCAUAAGGGUAGUGGAUGGAAACAAGAUUUCAUUCACAUCUUCUUUUGAGUAUGCAGGGGUAUAUUAUUAUUCCCCUUUACUGAGAAGGAGAGGAUGACAAAUUGAGGAACAGGCUUAAAGACACCCGGGAAGAGAGAGAAUCAGUCCUAUUAGGGUCAAAGAUCAUCCCACAGGAGAUGUGUUUCAUACCUUCUUCUUCUCCACUGUCCUUUGUUCUAGUCACCAGGACUAAGAUGGUAUGACGAGAGAUGGGAAAGAAUAAAGGAAUGUAAUCAGGUGAUGUAAGGGACGGGUAGUGUGAUGGAUGGCAUGGCCCCUUGCUCUCAGCGAGUAUGCGUGUGCACACAUGGUUUGUUCGCACUUGAGUGUGUUCAUAGGCUUCUACUGUAGAGAGGGAUGCAUUGAUGGACGAGGAGCAUCCUUUGCAGUUUCAGCAGAGGAAGUGCUUAAAGCAUCCGGGCCUCCAGGGAUGGGCCAUGUCACCGUCUCCCAUCCUCGUGACUUAUGGACCUGCCAUGACAAACACCCAAGGGCUGCUGUUGUGGCUUUGGGUGUGGGGAGGGUUGGGAUAUAAUAGCCCACGUGAUGACAGAAGCCAGACCCCCUGGAAGAAACCCAUCUCUCUGUUCUAAAACGGAACGUUUUCCAAUAAAGGCUGUAAAGCUUGUAGAAUAAUUUGUGAAAUAAUUCUAAUUCUGAUUUAUGAAAGUAUGUGCAGGGGAGGAAAUUAAUGGAGAGUAAUGUUAAGUCGUCUCACAAAUAUUUAAGAUUGUUUUCUAAUUAUUUCUCUCAAGCUCCUCCUUGGUGUGUGUGUGUUUUCAUAUUUACUCUCUGUUUAGGAUUUAGCCUGCAGCAGGAAGAAAUGGAAUAGAUUGUGAUAAAUUAGAUUAAAGCACACAGUGCAAAAAAGGAUGUUUUUUUUUUUUUUAUACACCGCUGCCUCAGCUCUCAGUGCAUCUCCAGCGUUAUACGUAAAGAGAGACAUUACCUUUGCAUGAAUUGUUAUUUUUGUCUUCUACAAAAUUCUACCACCAUCAAGUCAUUUUGCGGGGAAAAAAACAUACAUUUUCAGGGGGG